rnacentral:rRNA from 1 species
GAAACCGGAGCUAAUACCGGAUAAUAUAUUGAACCGCAUGGUUAAAUAGUGAAAGACGGUUUUGCUGUCACUUAUAGAUGGAUCCGCGCCGCAUUAGCUAGUUGGUAAGGUAACGGCUUACCAAGGCAACGAUGCGUAGCCGACCUGAGAGGGUGAUCGGCCACACUGGAACUGAGACACGGUCCAG